rnacentral:lncRNA from 1 species
GAACACGAGGCGCUCCGGCCUCCGGAUGAGGUCGGCAGGACCGCGGCCUCUCUGCAAGUCACUGGUGAUGGGCAGCACUUAAACCCCUCAUCUGAGGAGACUGUGACUGUGUUGCUAAGAUCUUGAUUAUGAGCUUUAAUUUGGCAAGAGGCAAAACGAAGGGAGCUUUUCUCAUCUCCAAGUUUACAAGGCAGAGCAGCGACCUGCCACGGCCAAGGCUGUACAGAGGGGAGUUGUGGCUGGAACAGGAGGAGAGCCAGUAGUCGCAUUCCGGAGGUGGCCGAUCGCACCUUGAUGGCUCUGAGAUGUGGGAAGAACUCUGCACGUCUGGUCAGCUGGUUCUCAGUGCCUGUGUCAGAAAAAUGUGCUCACGCCUUGCCGGUGUGAUUGUGCAACCUGUCACAACCUGCCACUUUUAAAAAAAAUAAACUUUGUAAUCAGACCAUUGUUCCAAGAAACCUG